GACGAACGCUGGCGGCGUGCUUAACACAUGCAAGUCGAACGGAAAGGCCCUGCUUUUGUGGGGUGCUCGAGUGGCGAACGGGUGAGUAACACGUGAGUAACCUGCCCUUGACUUUGGGAUAACUUCAGGAAACUGGGGCUACUACCGGAUAGGAGCUCCUGCUGCAUGGUGGGGGUUGGAAAGUUUCGGCGGUUGGGGAUGGACUCGCGGCUUAUCAGCUUGCUGGUGGGGUAGUGGCUUACCCAGGCUUUGACGGGUAGCCGGCCUGAGAGGGUGACCGGCCACAUUGGGACUGAGAUACGGCCCAGACUCCUACGGGAGGCAGCAGUGGGGAAUAUUGCACAAUGGGCGGAAGCCUGAUGCAGCAACGCCGCGGGCGGGAUGACGGCCUUCGGGUUGUAAACCGCUUUCGCCUGUGACGAAGCGGGAGUGACGGUAAUGGGUAAAGAAGCACCGGCUAACUACGUG
rnacentral:rRNA from 1 species